rnacentral:rRNA from 1 species
GAUGAACGCUAGCGGCAGGCCUAACACAUGCAAGUCGAGGGAGAAGCCCUUUCGGGGGCAGAAACCGGCGCACGGGUGCGUAACGCGUAUGCAACCUACCUUUCACAGGGGGAUAGCCCGAAGAAAUUUGGAUUAAUACCCCAUAAUAUUAUUGGAUGGCAUCAUUUGAUAAUUAAAACUGCGGUGGUGAAAGAUGGGCAUGCGUCCUAUUAGCUAGUUGGAGUGGUAACGGCACCCCAAGGCUACGAUAGGUAGGGGUCCUGAGAGGGAGAUCCCCCACACUGGUACUGAGACAGGGACCAGACUCCUACGGGAGGCAGCAGUGAGGAAUAUUGAACAAUGGUCGGAAGACUGAACCAGCCAUGCCGCGUGCAGGAAGAAUGCCUUAUGGGUUGUAAACUGCUUUUAUAUGGGAAGAAUAAGGCGUACGUGUACGUUGAUGACGGUACCAUAUGAAUAAGCAUCGGCUAACUCCGUG